AGCUCCCCGCGGCCGGCGGGGCGGGGCGGCCCGCCCGCACCGCGGUUCUGGGUGUUCUGAGGGAAGGGUGCUGCCCCUGCUGCGGGCGAAGCGGGUUUGGGGAGAGCUGGAGAGGGGAGCGGGUGUUGGAAGCAGCAGCGGGGCUGGCGGGACCCGCAAAGGGGUGCGCUGGCCACAAGCAGCCGUGCCAUGGCCAGAAUCACCGGCGAGGAGAGAUUUGGGCAGGAGGGAGCGAAAGGCUUUGAGCCCUGCAAGGCAAUCAGAGCGGGUUUAUCUCAGCCCUUCACAAAGUCAAAGGACGGGAGACUCCCGGGCUGUGGGCGGAACUGCUGCAGAGCUGCAGGGCCCCGCUCUCGUGAUAAGGAAGGCGGCGGCCCGGGCGCAGCCUGGUUUCGGUCUGGCUGGUUGCUGCUUACCCUGCCUGCCGCUCUGCAUGCCGAGGAAUUGCGCCGCAGCUUGUCACCUCUGCCAGCCGACCGCGGCAGGGACUGUCCCAGAAUCACAGAACAAUGAGUUUGGAAGAGACCUCUGAGAUCAUUCAGCCCAACCCGUGCCCCAACACCUCAACCAGACUACAGCACCAAGUGCCACGUCCAGUCUUUUUUUAAACACAUCCAGAGAUGGUGAUCCUGCCUGGGAAGACAAUUCCAGUACUUUAUUAUUCUUUUGGUGAAAAAUCUUCUCCUAAUAUCCAACCUGUACCUUCCCUGACGGAGCUUGAGGCUGUGUCCUCUUGUUCUGUCAGUGCUGCCCGGUGGAAGAGACCGACCCCACCUGUCUGCACCUCCCUUCAGGGAGUUGUAGAGAGCAAUGAGGUCACCUCUGAGCCUCCUCCAGGCUAAACAACCCCAGCUCCCUCAGCUGUUCCUCACAGGGUUUGUGUUCCCAGCCCCUCUCCAGCCUCAUUGCCUCCUCUGGACGCGCUCAAGCAUCAAAAUGUCCCUGUAUGCUCGGCACUGGGGAGGUCCCACCUCGAGUGCUGCGUCCAGUUCUGGGCCCCUCCCUACAAGAAACUGAGGUGUGGAGCAAGUUCAGAGAAGGGCAGCGAAGCUGGUGAAGGGUGUGGGGUUCUAUGAGGAGUAGCUGAGGGCUGGAAGAGAGGCUCAGGGGAGACAUUAUGGCUCUCUACAACUGACAGGAGGGCACAGCCAGGUGGGGGUCGGGCUCUUCCCCCAGGCAACAGCGACAGGACAAGAGGACAUAGGCUCAAGGUGUGCCAGGCUGGACAUCAGGAAGAAUUUCUUCACUGAAAGCGUGGUCAGGUAUUGGAACAGACUGCCUAGGGAGGCGGUGGAAUCGCCAUCCUUGGAGGUGUUCAAGAAAUGACUGGAUGUGGCAGUUACGGCCAUGGUCUGGUUGACAGGGUGGUGGUCAGUUAGUUUGGAUGACCUUUGGAUGACCUUGAUGACCUUGCGGGUCUUUUCCAACCUUAAGAACUCUACUGCGUCCCUCUUUCCUGCAACCUGAAACAGAAAUCUUGGUGCUGAACUCAGCUGAGGCCCUUCCAAACCCGGGGAAAGUAAAGGUUCAUUUCACAUUCAUGGAGAUGAAACAAUGUUUGUUUGCUUUCUGACUGGGCUUAGGAUCUCCUGAGUCCCUCCACAGGGCAGGUUUAACACGUAUGACUUUAGGCAUCAAUUACACAGUGUAAUUGUUUGUUUUUACGCUUCCAUUGCCAUGAACACCAACCUUAAUUUCUUUUUGACCCACUUUAACACCCAGAGCCCUAUUUGCAGAGCUAUUAAAGCACUGGCAAUUCAGAGAUAUACAUUUGUACAGAUGGUUAUUCCUCCUUAAGUGCUUUUUGCCUUAACUGAAUUACCUACCGUUUAUUUUUUGUAAUUUCCUCAAUUUGCCAGGAUCACUUUAAUUUCUCUGAAGUGUUUGCAGCUCAUCCUGCUCUGGCAAAAUUUGUGCUGGCCUUGGAGACAUUACUGAAAAUAUUUAGCUGCAUGAAGAACUGGGCUUCAAACCUUCUUCCACCAGCACAAGGAAACCAGCUACAGCUACUCUGAGCGCUGGGAAUAUCUCUGUGUCUGCUUGGAGCUUCCCGUUCCACCCGCUGUGCGUGGCCGGACCUCGUGAUUUCCUCUGCAGGCACAUCUGGCAGCAAAUACCCCAAAUACCCCUAGGGAUCGUCUGUGUGCCCCUCUCACACCGCCCACAGGAGACUCCCCUUUCUUCCCCUGUCCACACCGUGCUUGGAUGUCUCCCGCCCCCUUUCAGAGCUCACUGUAAAGACAAGCAAAACAGGCAGUUGCCCACAGCCUUCUCCCGUGGGUCCCUGUGUAAACUUUGCAGCUCUGUUUUCCCUGGACUCACAGCCCUGUCAUCACUCCCCUCUUCCUGACCUUCUCACAUGCCCUUCGAAUGCAGCCAUACCUUCCAUCUCUUUCCUUACUGCAGAGGCUCUAAUGGCCUGAACCAGCCCUCCCCCCACGGUUUAUCUCUCCUCUUCCCAUGCUGCAGCCUGCUCAUGGAAUGAUGGACAAGCUAAAGGUUGA